rnacentral:tRNA from 2 species
GCCGUCUUAGCUCAGUAGGCAGAGCAGUUGCCUUGUAAGCAUCAGGUCAUCCGUUCGAUUCGGAUAGACGGCACCA